rnacentral:rRNA from 1 species
ACCGUGCAAACGUUGUUCGGACUCACUGGGCUUAAAGGGCGCGUAGGCGGGCCAUCAAGUCAGGGGUGAAAUCUUUCGGCUCAACCGGAAAAGUGCCUUUGAUACUGGUGGUCUCGAGGGAGGUAGGGGCAUGCGGAACUUCCGGUGGAGCGGUGAAAUGCGUAGAUAUCGGAAGGAACGCCGGUGGCGAAAGCGGCGUGCUGGACCUCUUCUGACGCUGAGGCGCGAAAGCUAGGGGAGCAAACGGG